GAUGAACGCUGGCGGCGUGCCUAAUACAUGCAAGUCGAGCGAACGGACGAGAAGCUUGCUUCUCUGAUGUUAGCGGCGGACGGGUGAGUAACACGUGGAUAACCUACCUAUAAGACUGGGAUAACUUCGGGAAACCGGAGCUAAUACCGGAUAAUAUUUUGAACCGCAUGGUGCAAAAGUAAAAGACGGUCUUGCUGUCACUUAUAGAUGGAUCCGCGCUGCAUUAGCUAGUUGGUAAGGUAACGGCUUACCAAGGCAAGUAUGCAUAGACGACCUGAGAGGGUGAUCGGCCACCCUGGAACUGGGACACGGUCCAGACUCCUACGGGAGGCAGCAGUAGGGAAUCUUACGCAAUGGGCGAAAGCCUGACGGAGCAACGCCGCGUGAGUGAUGAAGGUCUUCGGAUCGUAAAACUGUGUUACUAGGGAAGAACAGAUGUGUAAGUAAAUGUGCACAUCUUGACGGUACCUAAUCAGAAAGCAACGGCUAACUACGUG
rnacentral:rRNA from 1 species